rnacentral:rRNA from 1 species
UAUUUUGACUAUACAAAGGUAUUGUAAUAAGAUUUUAAUUGAAUGCUAAGAGAAUGGAAUUUCAGGGAAAAACUGUUUUAAACUUAAAAAUUAAAUUUAUUUUAAUUUGUGAAGAAACAAUUAUUUAAAUUAAGGACAAGAAGACCCUAAGAAUUUUAAAGAUAAUAAUUUUAAUAUUAAAAUUAUUAUCUUUUGGUUGGGGCAACUAAAAAAGAUUAUAAACUUUUUAUUUAAUAAAAUGAUCCAUUAUUAAUGAUAAUUUGAUAAAAAUACUCUAGGGAUAACAGCGUAAUAAUUUUUGAUAGAACAUAUAGACAAAAUAGUUUGCGACCUCGAUGUUGGAUUAGGAUACUUUUUUAAUGAAGAUGUUAAAAAAAGAAGUUUGUUCAACUUUUAAAGUCCU